CACCGCCACGGUAAUCCGUAGGGUGCAGGCGUUAAUCGGAAUUACUGGGCGUAAAGCGUGCGCAGGCGGUUAUAUAAGUCAGAUGUGAAAUCCCCGGGCUCAACCUGGGAACUGCAUUUGAGACUGUAUGGCUAGAGUGCGGCAGAGGGGGAUGGAAUUCCGCGUGUAGCAGUGAAAUGCGUAGAUAUGCGGAGGAACACCGAUGGCGAAGGCAAUCCCCUGGGCCUGCACUGACGCUCAUGCACGAAAGCGUGGGGAGCAAACAGGAUUAGAUACCCCCGUAGUCCCUGUCUCUUAUACA
rnacentral:rRNA from 1 species